rnacentral:rRNA from 1 species
AUUGAACGCUGGCGGCAUGCCUUACACAUGCAAGUCGAACGGUAACAGGUCUUCGGAUGCUGACGAGUGGCGAACGGGUGAGUAAUACAUCGGAACGUGCCUAGUAGUGGGGAUAACUACUCGAAAGAGUGGCUAAUACCGCAUGAGAUCUACGGAUGAAAGCAGGGGAUCGCAAGACCUUGUGCUACUAGAGCGGCCGAUGGCAGAUUAGGUAGUUGGUGGGAUAAAAGCUUACCAAGCAGACGAUCUGUAGCGGGUCUGAGAGGACGAUCAGCCACACUGGGACUGAGACACGGCCCAGACUCCUACGGGAGGCAGCAGUGGGGAAUUUUGGACAAUGGGCGAAAGCCUGAUCCAGCAAUGCCGCGUGCAGGAUGAAGGCCUUCGGGUUGUAAACUGCUUUUGUACGGAACGAAAAGCCCCGGGUUAAUACCCUGGGGUCAUGACGGUACCGUAAGAAUAAGCAUCGGCUAACUACGUGCCAGCAGCCGCCGUAA